rnacentral:lncRNA from 1 species
UAGAGGCUGACCUAAUUGAUGAGACCUUUAAACUGAAAGCUGGGGAAAGAAAACACAGUUUCUUUCUUGUCCCUUGAGCUUGAGUUGCAGAUGACCUCCCAGCACCUGGGAGAGCUGCACUGCAACCCUAUGGACGUCCACCUUGCAGUGGGGACAGGGGAUGGUACAGGAGCCGCGGUACAGGACGUCUGUGCCCCAAUGGGUGCCACUGGUGAAACUGGCUUUGAAAUUGCUAUUGGUUUGGAAAAGAGACAUCAGGGCACAUGGUGUCCCACUGGAAGACAGUUGGUGUUUCAACACUGCGAGAGCAGAAUCAGCCUGAUUCUCAGAGAUUCACCACAGCACAUGAAACAUAAAAACAGCCCAGCACGCAAUGACUAAACCUUUAAUUACCUUUCUGAAUGAUGGAGAGAGGCUACAAUCUGAUAAACGCGGUUAAUUGCUGGCAAUU